UUUCGAUUUACGUACAGUGAUGUUUUGUAUUAUUGCCAUUGGAAUAUUUAUUUUGAGUACAGCUGGAACAGUACUCCUGUCGAAAGGGAUACGACGUAAAAAUGUUAUACAUAUAAUUGGUCCACAUGAAAGAUGUCCUACAGUUCCAAUAUAUCAUACAGCUCCAGCUUUUGAUACUACGCCGAAUGUAUAUGCCACCCCAGAAACAGGAUACCUACAGGUUACCAAUGAAGAAUGUGAACUGGAUCAUGUUCAAGAUACUGAAAACAAGGGCGGGGAAAAUUACACAUCGAGAUACAUGAGCUCUAAUUAUGAUGAAAUUGAUGUUUGAAAAAGUAACCUAUAGCUGCUUACUUUUAAUAUUAAAGGGAUUUUGGUAGUUGUCUCAUUGGCACCCGUUUUUCAUUUACUUAUGUUUAAACGUAUGAUUUGGUUUGAAAGCCAAAUAUAUCAACAAAGAAUGGAAUGUGGACUCGGUUUGACAUCAAACAAUUUUAUAGCUGUAAAGUAUAAGACAUUGUGUUAUUGUGCUAUGGCCAUAUUUUGUGUCAUUGUCUUUAAUUUUUGAUUAUGUGCUCUGUCUAUAUGCCAUUUUGUUUUUCUUUGUUGACAUAUUUGUUUGUUUUUAAAGUGAUUUAGAUAUUAACACAAUGGUGACUGCAGUACCCGUAUUUUUGACAUUUUUACAUAUUAUGUCUGUUUGUUUUGCUUACAAAUUGUCAAUUAUAAUGGAAUUCUAUGCGACUGUCAUGCAAGUGAGAGGUUUAGCUAGUUACAAAACCAGGUUUAAUCCACCAUUAUCUAUAUAAGGAAAUACCUUUUCAACGUCAGUAAUAUGACAGUUGUUUUCCAUUCGAUUUGAUGUGUUUGAACUUCUCAUUUUUUUCCAUUUUGAAUUUUCCAUUGAGUUCGUUAAUUUUGUUAUUUUACUUUUUAUGCUUUUUUAUAUUUAGUUUAUCUUUCUGUUAAGCAGUAUAUUCAAUUUCUGAAGUUGAAAACUGUCUCAUAAGGAAUGUAUUGGCAUUGAUCUCGUUUUUGGUAGUUUCUCGGUGUCCCUGUAUUGAUUUAAGUAUAACGAAAAACUAUAUAUAAACAGGGUCUCAAUUCAAAAUGCAAAUCAAAGUGAGAUUAUUUUUUUUCCUCGUUGCUUUGCAAAUCUAAUGCAUUUUCAAUCUGAGAAAGAGAGCAAAAGGAAUAAACAAAUUGUAUCUUGAUA